rnacentral:rRNA from 2 species
AGCUAUACAUGCAGUCGAGCGGAUCUUUCAAAAGCUUGCUUUUGGAAGGUCAGCGGCGGACGGGUGAGUAACACGUGGGCAACCUGCCUGUGAGACUGGGAUAACUUCGGGAAACCGGAGCUAAUACCGGAUAAUAUAAGGAACCUCCUGGUUCUUUAUUGAAAGAUGGUUUCGGCUAUCACUCACAGAUGGGCCCGCGGCGCAUUAGCUAGUUGGUGAGGUAACGGCUCACCAAGGCGACGAUGCGUAGCCGACCUGAGAGGGUGAUCGGCCACACUGGGACUGAGACACGGCCCAGACUCCUACGGGAGGCAGCAGUAGGGAAUCUUCCACAAUGGACGAAAGUCUGAUGGAGCAACGCCGCGUGAGCGAUGAAGGCCUUCGGGUCGUAAAGCUCUGUUGUUAGGGAAGAACAAGUGCGAGAGUAACUGCUCGCACCUUGACGGUACCUAACCAGAAAGCCACGGCUAACUACGUGCCAGCAGCCGCGGUAAUACGUAGGUGGCAAGCGUUGUCCGGAAUUAUUGGGCGUAAAGCGCGCGCAGGUGGUCCUUUAAGUCUGAUGUGAAAGCCCACGGCUCAACCGUGGAGGGUCAUUGGAAACUGGGGGACUUGAGUGCAGAAGAGGAAAGUGGAAUUCCAAGUGUAGCGGUGAAAUGCGUAGA